GACGAACGCUGGCGGCGUGCUUAACACAUGCAAGUCGAACGGAAAGGCCCUGCUUUUGUGGGGUGCUCGAGUGGCGAACGGGUGAGUAACACGUGAGUAACCUGCCCUUGACUUUGGGAUAACUUCAGGAAACUGGGGCUAAUACCGGAUAGGAGCUCCUGCUGCAUGGUGGGGGGUGGAAAGUUUCGGCGGUUGGGGAUGGACUCGCGGCUUAUCAGCUGGUUGGUGGGGUAGUGGCUUACCAAGGCUUUGACGGGUAGCCGGCCUGAGAGGGUGACCGGCCACAUUGGGACUGAGAUACGGCCCAGACUCCUACGGGAGGCAGCAGUGGGGAAUAUUGCACAAUGGGCGGAAGCCUGAUGCAGCAACGCCGCGUGCGGGAUGACGGCCUUCGGGUUGUAAACCGCUUUCGCCUGUGACGAAGCGUGAGUGACGGUAAUGGGUAAAGAAGCACCGGCUAACUACGUG
rnacentral:rRNA from 1 species